UUUCAGGAUCCAGCAUUUGUUUAAGGGAACUUGGUAAAACCGUAGAAGAACCAUCACCCAAACCAUCAUCUGCAUUGUUGUGGGAAAAUAUGCCAGACCCUCCCAUUCCAGCACUGUUAACGGCUGCAUCAGAAAACGUAAACUUAUCACGACCAUAUCGGUUCUCGAGAUAUCCUGAUCCUCCAGGAAUAUUAAGACCUCUCAUUUCUUCAUCUUGAGCUCCAUUUAAUUCAUCUAAUUUGGGGAAAAAGUUGGACCGUUUUCUACGCAGAGAUGCAGCCUCAGAAUGGAAAGUUAAAGGGGAAGAAGCAGGAGAAAGAGUAUUAG